AACGUAGGACGCAAGCGUUAUCCGGAGUUACUGGGCGUAAAGCGCGGGCAGGCGGCCAACCAAGUCUGAUGUGAAAUCUCUUCGCUCAACGGAGAGAGGCCAUUGGAAACUGGUCGGCUGGAGGGCAGUAGAGGUAGGCGGAAUUCCGGGUGGAGUGGUGAAAUGCGUAGAGAUCCGGAGGAACACCAGAGGCGAAGGCGGCCUACUGGGCUGCACCUGACGCUGAGCCGCGAAAGCCAGGGGAGCAAACGGG
rnacentral:rRNA from 1 species